UACGUAGGGACCGAGCGUUUGUCCGGAUUCAUUGGGCGUAAAGAGCUCGUAGGCGGCUUUCUAAGUCAGGGGUGAAAUCCUGGAGCUCAACUCCAGAACUGCCUUUGAUACUGGAGAGCUUGAGUCCGGAAGAGGUGAGUGGAACUCCGAGUGUAGAGGUGAAAUUCGUAGAUAUUCGGAAGAACACCAGUGGCGAAGGCGGCUCACUGGUCCGGUACUGACGCUGAGGUGCGAAAGCGUGGGGAGCAAACAGGG
rnacentral:rRNA from 1 species